rnacentral:rRNA from 1 species
AUUCCCGGUGUAGCGGUGGAAUGCGUAGAUAUCGGGAGGAACACCAGUGGCGAAGGCGGCCUACUGGGCACCAACUGACGCUGAGGCUCGAAAGUGUGGGUAGCAAACAGGAUUAGAUACCCUGGUAGUCCACACCGUAAACGAUGAUUACUAGGUGUUGGAGGAUUGACCCCUUCAGUGCCGCAGUUAACACAAUAAGUAAUCCACCUGGGGAGUACGACCGCAAGGUUGAAACUCAAAGGAAUUGACGGGGGCCCGCACAAGCAGUGGAGUAUGUGGUUUAAUUCGAAGCAACGCGAAGAACCUUACCAGGUCUUGACAUCCGAUGCAUAGUGCAGAGAUGCAUGAAGUCCUUCGGGACAUCGAGACAGGUGGUGCAUGGUUGUCGUCAGCUCGUGUCGUGAGAUGUUGGGUUAAGUCCCGCAACGAGCGCAACCCUUAUUGCCAGUUACUACGCAAGAGGACUCUGGCGAGACUGCCGUUGACAAAACGGAGGAAGGUGGGGAUGACGUCAAAUCAUCAUGCCCUUUAUGACUUGGGCUACACACGUACUACAAUGGCGUUAAACAAAGAGAAGCAAGACCGCGAGGUGGAGCAAAACUCAAAAACAACGUCUCAGUUCAGAUUGCAGGCUGCAACUCGCCUGCAUGAAGUCGGAAUUGCUAGUAAUCGCGGAUCAGCAUGCCGCGGUGAAUACGUUCCCGGGCCUUGUACAC